rnacentral:lncRNA from 12 species
GUUGUAAUUCCUUUAUUUUGUUUCUCACAACUCUCCUUAAAGUUUUGAUUGUCUUAAAGUGUUGCCUUUCAUAACAUGAGCUUCACCUUAACUAGUUCUUUUCCCAACCUUGGCAUUGGGGAUUGCUGAAAUAUUUAAGACACCAUUUGUCACCAUUUGUAUACCAUGUUGGUAGAUUUUGUUAAAAUGAAGAACACUCAACCCAUUUGUGUAAUUGUUUGUUUUUAUAUCUCACUCACUUGACUGGAAAUUCCACGAGGUCAGAGGCCACAUCUAUCUUAUUUAUACUGUGUGCCAGCACCUGGCUCAGUACUUGCAAUUAACAGGUGCCCUGGAAACAUUUCUUGGGUGAAAGUACAAUUCCCAGAACCUUCCCCAACAGGAGCAAUAUCAACAAAAGGAAGAAAAAAUGUUUAUCUUUGUCUAUUGUUUUAUUCACAUGAACCCAGAAGAAUCUAACAUGGAAACUACAAUUUUAGUCCAUGCUGUCUUUUAGUGGCAGAUAAAACAAUAACCAGCUCAACCAGGCAGCGAUUUCCUCCCUGGGUGAAUUAGCCUUCUAAACUCUUUUAGUAUGCUUCCGGACUGGGGCGAGAGGCAAAAUACAACAGGCAGGGUAAGAAAUGGAGAGCAGCACGCAGGGAAUUCCAGUGACCUCGUGGACUUUCCGCAUUGAGGGAGGAGAGCUCCACUGCUUCCUUCUGCCCAUUGCCUGUCUUCUGCGGACUGGAGAGUCCAGAAGACUACACACAAUCUUUCCAGAGAUAUCUCCCGGACAGAGAUUUAAGAACAAAAAUUCCUGAAGUUCAAAAGAGAAGGUGGAGAUGGAUUAAAACAAGAAUGAGGAGGGGGACACCUGAGUGGCUCACCGGUUGAAUGUCUGCCUUUGGCUCAGGACCUGAUUCCAGGUCCGGGAAUCGAGUCCCACAUCAGGCUCCCUGCGAGGAGCCUGCUGCCCCCUCUGCCUAUGUUUCUGCCUCUUUCUGUGUGUCUCUCAUGAAUAAAUAAAUAAAAUCUUUAGAACA